rnacentral:rRNA from 1 species
AGGGCACCACCAGGAGUGGAGCCUGCGGCUUAAUUUGACUCAACACGGGAAAACUCACCCGGCCCGGACACCGUGAGGAUUGACAGAUUGAUAGCUUUUUCAUGAUUCGGUGGUUGGUGGUGCAUGGCCGUUCUUAGUUCGUGGAUCGAUUUGUCUGGUUUAUUCCGAUAACGAGCGAGACUCCAGCCUACUAACUAGUGCGAGCAUUGUCUCUGUGCUUGUCACUUCUUAGAGGGAUUGGCUGCGUCUAGCGGCACGAAACGGAGCAAUAACAGGUCUGUGAUGCCCUUAGAUGUCCGGGGCUGCACGCGCGUUACACUGGCAAAAGCAGCGUGCUUGUCCGCCUCCGAAAGGAGCCGGUAAACCCUUGAAAAUUUGCCGUGAUUGGGAUCGGAAAUUGCAAUUAUUUUCCGUGAACGAGGAAUUCCUAGUAAGUGCGAGUCAUCAGCUCGCGUUGAUUACGUCCCUGCCCUUUGUACACACCGCCCGUCGCUGCCUAGAACUGAGCCAUUUCGAGAA